AUUGAACGCUGGCGGCAUGCCUUACACAUGCAAGUCGAACGGCAGCACGGGUGCUUGCACCUGGUGGCGAGUGGCGAACGGGUGAGUAAUACAUCGGAACGUACCUUAUCGUGGGGGAUAACGCAGCGAAAGUUGCGCUAAUACCGCAUACGCCCUGAGGGGGAAAGCGGGGGACCGUAAGGCCUCGCGCGAUUAGAGCGGCCGAUGUCUGAUUAGCUUGUUGGUGAGGUAAAAGCUCACCAAGGCGAUGAUCAGUAGCUGGUCUGAGAGGACGAUCAGCCACACUGGGACUGAGACACGGCACAGACUCCUACGGGCGGCAGCAGUGGGGAAUUUUGGACAAUGGGGGCAACCCUGAUCCAGCAAUGCCGCGUGAGUGAAGAAGGCCUUCGGGUUGUAAAGCUCUUUUGUCAGGGAAGAAACAGCAGCUCUAACACAGUCUGCGAAUGACGGUACCUGAAGAAUAAGCACCGGCUAACUACGUGCCAGCAGCCGCGGUAA
rnacentral:rRNA from 1 species